AAUCAACGGCUGGCGGCGUGCCUCAGACAUGCAAGUCGAACGAUUAAACUUUCCUUCGGGAAAGAUAUAAAGUGGCGCACGGGUGAGUAACACGUAGGUAAUGUACCUUUGGGUGGGGAAUAACCAUCGGAAACGAUGGCUAAUACCGCAUAAUGCAGCGGCAUCGCAAGAUGACAGUUGUUAAAGAUUUAUCGCCUAAAGAGCAGCCUGCGGCAGAUUAGGAGUUGGUAAGGUAA
rnacentral:rRNA from 1 species